UCUCAAGUGUUCAUGACGUCGCCUUUCCGGCUUAGAUCUUUAACAUUGUUUCACAGCAGGCCCUGCGUGUGCUCCAUCAAUGUUAAUCACUUUCAUCAAUAUGGUAUUGUUCAAAGGUAGUGUUCCUCCCAAAGGUUGUGAUGAGUUCAUGUAUAGUGGACAGAAAGGCUUGCAGAGGUUCUUUGUUGUUCUUGCUCUACUGUGUGUUGCUUGGAUGCUUCUUGCAAAACCCAUUGUUUUGAUAAUGAGGCACUGCAAAGCCCACCAAACGCUUUCAAGCCAUCUCGUACCUGCAGAGAAAGGCAUGGAUGCGGAGGUGGGAUCGAUGUCAGGGACAGCACACAAGGACAGUGCAGAUGGGGCUCCCACACCACGGAGCAGUGAAGACCACAACCUUGGAGAAAUCUUCAUCCAUCAGGGCAUCCACACAAUAGAGUACGUGCUAGGCUCUGUCUCUCACACUGCCUCUUAUCUGUGACUUUGGGCACUGUCACUGACGCACGUCCAGGUGUCUGAGGUGCUGUGUAGUAUGGUGAUGAAGAAUGGACUGGUAGUGGAGGGCUGGACUGGAG